CGUUAACUAGUCCAUGUAACUACUGGCAUUACACGUAAACCAGAUAACUUCAGAAGUAUGGCUACUAGCACUAAACACAAACUAGUUACACUAUCUGGCUCUGUUACAUAGCUACGUAUAUGCAUAUUUCUGUUUUUUUUCUGUAAAUCUACAAGAGAGAGAGAAAAACACAUGUGAUUUUCAGUUGUGCCAGAAAACAGGAAA